AGCUAUAAUGGCCAUGUGAAUUAAAUUCACCCAUUCCAGUCCAUUUUAAUUCACUGAUUCCUAGCACAGGGUCAAAGAUAAAGCCCAAGGAGUAUCAACACUUGAGCAGACCAAAAAAGGAACCUAUGAAGAAAUGUGAGAAGCCGUGGGAAAGGUAGAAAGAAGACCCCACAGAGAGUGCUAUUGCGGCAGCCAAGAAGGAUGUCAUCAGCUGGGACACACGCCACAGAAAUGUCCGGAUAAAUGAAGACGAGUGUCUGUCGACCCCUCCCUGUGGUAGCCGUUGGUGACUAUAGUGAGCGCCAUAGCAGGGGACAGCAGGACAGAAGCAGCGUGGCUGUGAGUGUGUGGUACCGGGACUGGAAGACAGCAGUCAACAAAUGCAGUCAAGGGAAGGAGCCUCGGGGCAGAAAGUCAAGGGGUGGGGCGGGGAGUCUAGAGUCUUUUUCUAAAGAUCCAACAGUUCUGUAACUUUGUCCAGGAUUCACCACUGCCCAUUUGGAAGAAGUUUAGACCCACUUUUCCUUCUUUCUUUCUGCCUUUUGUUUUUCCCCUCCCUCCCCCUAUUUCUCCCCAUCCUUCCCUCCCUCCUUCUUCACUCUGAGUUUCCUCUCCAGAAGCCAAGGAAUAACUUAUGUAACUGGAAGCACUUAAUGUAUUACCUUCCUAAGUGUUUUAAAAUAAGGUACUGAAAAGUUAUAUGUAGGCAAGGGAGUCAGAAGAACCAAGUUGAAAAAAGAGUUGGAGCCGGGGUAAGAGAAGGGCUGCCUCUCUUCCUCUCAGCCUGCUGUCCACCCUGCCACUCCUGGGGACCGUCCUUUGGCCCAAAGAUGGCUUGUGUGUUAGUGGGUGUGGUGAGCGCAGACAGUUACCUACUUUGUCUGCGCCCUUCUGAGUGGAGACCAGCCUGCUUCUCCCGCCUCUGGCUUCACUGGUCAUGCGGGCAGCUGGCAGCAUCCUUCCUUGUAAUGACUCCAUGCGGCUGUCCUGGUCACUCCCCCCAGCUGGUGACCACUUGCCUGCAGAACUUGGCUCAUCCCACUUGUACCCACUCCUCACCGAACCUUCCUGAGCUUGCAGGUAGGACUCAAACGCACUGUCUUCAGGAGCCCCUCUUGCCCGCUUCAGUUAGUCCCCAGGUCUACAUGUUGGCACUGUGCCUUUCCUGAGAGGUUGCUGGGAGGCACUCUCAUUGUGGUUGUUUAUACUGUCCCUCGCUGGUGAGACCUUAAGGCCCUGGCAGGGAUUCUCCAUGACAUUCAGUGCAGCAUUGCAUGCAGGUGAAAUCCUCAGCUGGGUUGGUUUGCAGAAGGUAAGGGCAUGAAGUCUGCCCUCAAGGGUGGGCGUGGGGCUCUUGCAUCUUUGUCCACACUUCUCCUCCUCCUCCCUAGGGAUGUGACCAUCUUUCAGUGCCACAGGCAUUUAUUGAGCACCUACUCUGAAAUGGCAGUAAGUACUCUGGGACUUCAGCAGUGAACCAGGCAGACAAGAUCGCCGCCUCCUCAGUUUGUGAAACGUGUGUAAGCAGAGACGAUGCCUCCAGGCUGUGGCUAGAGCUUGGAAGGACCUGCACAGGCUCUGUAAGGCAGGAGCACAGUUGUGUUGAGACCUGUAGACUGAAGAGGAAGGGGAAGUUGCCCUCUUUCUUCUCUGUUAUUUAAAUAGCUCCUGCUCCUUUAACUUCUCUUUCAAUAAAAUAUUUAUGUAAAGGGCUGUAGGAAGGCGACGUGCAGGGCAUGCUCCUGGUCAGUAGGCUCACACCUGCUGACACAUCGUACCCCUAACGAAUGAUAAUCUCUUGAAUGGCUGUUCACCUGAAGACGCCUCUAACGCUAGGCGUGUUUUGUUUGCAGGUGAGCCGGCCUCAUCCCAGCGACCACCCUCUCCUCAUCCUCUUCGUGGUGGGUGGAGUCACAGUCUCUGAAGCCAAAAUGAUCAAAGACCUUGUGCCGUCCCUGAAGCCGGGAACCCAGGUAAUCGUGCUGUCCACGCGACUCCUAAAGCCGCUUAACAUCCCUGAGCUGUUGUUUGCGACUGACCGGCUGCAUCCAGACCUUGGCUUCUAAGCGUCUCCCAAGAAGAUGAGCCCUACCUGAGCUGGAAACCCCAGUACUGUUAUCUGUCUCCAUCCAAUGCCUCCCAGACCAGUCUCCCUGUUACUAAUCAUGGUUAUGACUAAAUGUUGCCCAAAGGAUCUUCGUAACCACACAGUGAAGUAUUGCUGAGAUUUUUUUUUUUAAUCAUUUUUCUAAAGGUAUCAAACUGCCUUUCAGCUGGCCUAAUUCAUGAUAAUGCCCGUUUAUCCUUACCCCUCUGUCUGUGAUCUUUCUGAUUCCACCUGCACGUUUGUUCAUUCUAAACAAGUGCCUGUCGGUGAGUGUUGGUAGAUUACAAGCCGUUUGAUCUGCAGUUGCUCUAGGAGAAGUUAGACAUGCUUUAGAAUCAUGGGUGUCAGGAAAGUUUGGUUUUCAAGAUAAUGUAGCUGAGGAGGGAACGUUGCAAAUGUGAUCUGAGGCUUUGUUUCUCUCUUGAUCUGAGACAUUUCUGAACAGGGGAGGAAAGGCGGGGGGUGGUAGGGCAGUGCGAUCGUCUGCCUCUGUUGUAAAUCUCCUGCCUUUACAAAGAGCUGCAUUGUUCCUGUCUGCUUACUGGGCAGGGCUGCCAGCCUGCCUGGAACAGGAGUGGGGGAGAGGUUGAUUGGAGCACUGUGACUGCCCAUAAAAGGUUUCCUCUCCUCCCAGAGGAAGGCCCCAAUAAAGAUAUCUGGUCCAGGAGGUCUAGGUUGGAACCCUACCCCUUAUGACUUAUGAUUUCACAUUUCUACUGAUUACACAUUUCUACUUCUUUCUUUUCUGUGAAUCUUAGUCUUCCUUCUAGCCAUAACAGAGAAGCCUAGACCCACAGAGUGGAAUUGUAUAAGAAUUCCAGCAGAAAGGAACCUCUAGGAACCAUGCAUGUGUAGGUGUAUAGCUGAUGGAAAUUUCUAGCGUCUCUUAAAGAUGUUUAUAAUAAAGAGGGAAAGCUGAAAAACAAUGACUAGUGUGAAUUAAACAGGUAGAAGAAAUAAAAUGUAAACCAAAAUGUGUCUCUACUUAUAGUUCUCUGCCAAACACUACCAUUUUAUGAGAAAACUGUAAAGUUGGAAAUCAUUUUGAGAUGUCAUCAAAGCAGGUUUUCUUGACCCCGACCUUCUUUAUUUUGUCCAAGUAUGUUUUCCACCUAACACUGGUUCUUUCAUGGUGCUGAAAUACUGGAGACCCCAGAUGCUUCAUUCAUUCUACUCAGAAGUUUGAAAUUGAGUAAGGGAGAAAAUGGCAGAUAGCCCCAAAGAAAUGAUCAUUAAAGCAAAGAUCACUCUUUUUAAAAAUGAGUAAAUAACCUCUUGGAUUCCCUGGCAGUCCAGUGGUUAGAACAUUUUCCCUGCAGUGGUCUGGGCUCAAUCCCUGGUCAGGGAACUAAGCACGGCCAAUAAAUUAACUAAUUCAUUAAUAAAGUAGAUAAGUAACCUGU